UCUCCAGGUCCCUCCAUGUCGUCUCAAAGGGAUUGGAUGACAAGGUUCAGAAACCAACUUUGGCUAACUCUCAGAAAGCAGAGGCUGUCGAAGUCCCCAAAUGGAGGUGCACUGGAGAAUCGAGGCAGCUCCUGAAGGUACCCGGACAACCAUGGUCUGAAAAUAUUAAAUGGAAGAUUUCA